rnacentral:rRNA from 1 species
CUAAUACAUGCAAGUCGAGCGAACAGACGAGGAGCUUGCUCCUCUGACGUUAGCGGCGGACGGGUGAGUAACACGUGGAUAACCUACCUAUAAGACUGGGAUAACUUCGGGAAACCGGAGCUAAUACCGGAUAAUAUAUUGAACCGCAUGGUUCAAUAGUGAAAGACGGUUUUGCUGUCACUUAUAGAUGGAUCCGCGCCGCAUUAGCUAGUUGGUAAGGUAACGGCUUACCAAGGCAACGAUGCGUAGCCGACCUGAGAGGGUGAUCGGCCACACUGGAACUGAGACACGGUCCAGACUCCUACGGGAGGCAGCAGUAGGGAAUCUUCCGCAAUGGGCGAAAGCCUGACGGAGCAACGCCGCGUGAGUGAUGAAGGUCUUCGGAUCGUAAAACUCUGUUAUUAGGGAAGAACAAAUGUGUAAGUAACUAUGCACGUCUUGACGGUACCUAAUCAGAAGGCCACGGCUAACUACGUGCCAGCAGCCGCGGUAAUACGUAGGUGGCAAGCGUUAUCCGGAAUUAUUGGGCGUAAAGCGCGCGUAGGCGGUUUUUUAAGUCUGAUGUGAAAGCCCACGGCUCAACCGUGGAGGGUCAUUGGAAACUGAAAAACUUGAGUGCAGAAGAGGAAAGUGGAAUUCCAUGUGUAGCGGUGAAAUGCGCAGAGAUAUGGAGGAACACCAGUGGCGAAGGCGACUUUCUGGUCUGUAACUGACGCUGAUGUGCGAAAGCGUGGGGAUCAAACAGGAUU